UGAAGCCACGCUGUCUCACCGCAUUGUAGCGAUAACUGCACGAUAGAAAGACUGUUGUAGAGUGAGACGGGGGUUUCAACGAGGUUAGAAAGUUCUCCAUCGCCGACAGACAGAAGGAUUCCCGGUGGUAACCAGCCUUCCAUGUGGCUGAACAGAUGCCAGUGUACCCAGAUUCUGAGACACAACUGGGUGCUCUUUUCUUCUGGUUUCAAGAUUUCCAAUUUGAGAUGAUGUGCAGUUCAUGCUAGAUUUGUUAUUUCUACAGUUACAGUGAAGUAGAAGAGUGUGGCCGUGUUAUGGGGCAGCAGUUAAAGAAAAUAGAUGAGAUGUGUGCCAUGUUGAUGUAGUGGGUGACCCUUCUGUGUGGCACUUCUAGAAUCCUCCAUCUCAAUGUCUGCUCUGAUCUGCUGUGCCUUUGCCAAGUGAUCACGAGUUUUGUCUGCAAUAUCAACUCAAACUGCCUGUGAUGCUGGAGAGAAACAAAGUUCACAAGACGUCCUGAAAUGGAAUUGUGAUUGGACUGAGAUGGCCACAAUUAUGUACGCUGGGAUGUGCAGAGGGGGCUAUGUGGACUUUGGCUUGGAACUCCCACAGGUUUAUUAUCUCCAGCAUCAUUGAAAGCUACAAGUUUGUCUUUGUCCCCGGUCAUUUGACCAGGCAG